CGGCGUAAAGUGUGGUCUAGUAAAAAUACUUGCAGGAUCAAAUAGUCUCAACGCUGUUAUACGUCUACGAGAUCAGUAAGUCCAAAACGAAAGUUGUCCUCAUAUACUACAAUCCACGAAAGCCAAGACCUAAACAGGGAUCAGAUACCCCUCUAUACUUGGCCGUAAACAAAGGUACUCAUUUACAUAGAGUGCUCGCCAGGGUACUACGAGCAUUAUAGCUUGAAACCUAAAGGACCUGGCGGUGCUUCACAUCCACUUAGAGGAGCCUGUCCUGUAACUGAUAUUCCUCAUUAAACCUCACCUUCUCUAGCUUACUCAGUCUAUAUACCGCCGUCGUCAGCUUUCCCCUUGAGGGUCUACGACAGUUAGCCCAAACAACUAUCGCCUAAAGACGUCAGGUCGAGGUGUAGCCUACGGGAAGGGAAGAGAUGGGCUACAUUUUCUACCCCUAGAAAAUACGAAUGAUUAUCUGAAAUAGAUUCUUUACACUGAAGGUGGAUUUAGCAGUAAGAAGGGAACAAGAGAGUCCCUCUGAACAUUGCUCUAAAGCGCGUACAUACCGCCCGUCACCCUCCCCUUUAUCCACAAAUCAUAGAAUUAGGAUGCCCGAGGAGG
rnacentral:rRNA from 1 species